GCAGUCAUGGCCGAGCGGUUAAGGCGAUGGAAUAGAAAUCCAUUGGGGUCUCCCCGCACAGGUUCGAAUCCUGUCGACUGCG
rnacentral:tRNA from 1 species